CAGUAGUGUAUAUCAAAGUUGUUGCGGUUAAAAGGCUCGUAGUUGGAUUUUGGGUUUAUAGACGAGAUUGCACUUUGUCUUUGAACGGAGGUGAUCUCUAGGCCCCAUGGUGAAGCGUUUUCGGACGUUUUGCCGCGUACUUUGAACAAAUUAGAGUGCUCAAGACAGGCGAGUAUUUGCCUUGAAUAGAUUAGCAUGGAAUACAAGUAUAAACCACUACUUGCAAAACGUUUGUCUUUUUGCGGGAGAGGAAUGAUGGAUAGGGACAGGAUGUGGGCGUUGAGAUUGUGACGUCAGAGGUGAAAUUCUUAGAUCGUUGCAGGAUGAGCUGGAGCGAAAGCAUUCGUCAAGGAUGUUUUCAUUGA
rnacentral:rRNA from 1 species